UCUCUAGUAGCUCAGUGGUAAGAGCGAACGGCUGUUAACCGUUAGGUCGUAGGUUCGAUCCCUACCUGGGGAG
rnacentral:tRNA from 1 species